rnacentral:rRNA from 1 species
GACGAACGCUGGCGGCGUGCUUAACACAUGCAAGUCGAACGGAAAGGCCCUGCUUUUGUGGGGUGCUCGAGUGGGGAAGGGGUGAGUAACAGGUGAGUAACCUGCCCUUGACUUUGGGAUAACUUCAGGAAACUGGGGCUAAUACCGGAUAGGAGCUCCUGCUGCAGGGUGGGGGUGGGAAAGUUUCGGCGGUUGGGGAUGGACUCGCGGCUUAUCAGCUUGUUGGUGGGGUAGUGGCUUACCAAGGCUUUGACGGGUAGCCGGCCUGAGAGGGUGACCGGCCACAUUGGGACUGAGAUACGGCCCAGACUCCUACGGGAGGCAGCAGUGGGGAAUAUUGCACAAUGGGCGGAAGCCUGAUGCAGCAACGCCGCGUGCGGGAUGACGGCCUUCGGGUUGUAAACCGCUUUCGCCUGUGACGAAGCGUGAGUGACGGUAAUGGGUAAAGAAGCACCGGCUAACUACGUG